GACGAACGCUGGCGGCGUGCUUAACACAUGCAAGUCGAACGGUGAUCUUGAGAGCUUGCUCUUGGGUGAUCAGUGGCGAACGGGUGAGUAACACGUGAGUAACCUGCCCCUGACUCUGGAGUAACUUCGGGAAACCGAAGCUAAUACCGGAUAUGACACAGAGCCGCAUGGUUUCUGUGUGGAAAGUUUUUCGGUUGGGGAUGGACUCGCGGCCUAUCAGCUUGUUGGUGAGGUAAUGGCUCACCAAGGCGACGACGGGUAGCCGGCCUGAGAGGGCGACCGGCCACACUGGGACUGAGACACGGCCCAGACUCCUACGGGUGGCAGCAGUGGGGAAUAUUGCACAAUGGGCGAAAGCCUGAUGCAGCGACGCCGCGUGGGGGAUGAAGGCCUUCGGGUUGUAAACCUCUUUCAGUAGGGAAGAAGCGCAAGUGACGGUACCUACAGAAGAAGCACCGGCUAACUACGUGCCAGCCGCCGCCGUAA
rnacentral:rRNA from 1 species